UUCGCAGGUGAAUCUCGACCAGCUAUUUGUAUGCUGCGUCUCGAUCAUGUGUGCUCAGUAAAUGAAGUACUAACCGAAGAAGAACCAUGGGAUGACGAAUCACUCACUAGGAUUUGCCCGCAAAUCAUUAAUUUCAUAGACUGCAUCGGCAAUCACGAAGAAAGAUGUCGUGCUAAAUUACUAAAGACCUCCUGCAGAUUAUCAAACUAUCAAAAAUAUUUUGGUCGAAAUCUGCAAUGAAAACAGCACUAUUCAUCAAGAGAUUUCAGAAGCCAUGCCAUGUAUUCAGCAAGUACUGAAAGGGCACAUUGAAGGCACUUGCGCCCAAUCAAAAGCGAGUUUGUUGAAUCUAUACGAACAAUACACAAAAUUUCAAGCUACUACUCAAAACAGAUUAUUAACAGAUUAUUAACAGAUUGAUUGGCAUGAAGAAAAUCGCAGACGUCAGUGUUUAGGCGGUCUUUAUGAUUUGCAUUGCUUAGCAAAUUAUACUUCGAAUGAAUGUGGAAACCGUGCUCGGGAUGGAUUCCUAGAGUUUUACCAGAGAUCUAACAUGCUAUAUAUGAUAUGUCCGCAAAAUCGCCUCUCUGGUAUUUUGGAUAUCAUCGGUGAAAUGAAAUCUAUAGUACAACCUUUAUUUUCGACUGGCUUAAGAUUCUUGGAUUAAUAAUAAAAGAAUAAUGCUGCAUUUUGUUACUUCCAGCCUCGAUGUUAUUUAUAUUGUUAAUUUUCAUUUCAUUUCGUAUUACUUCUGAAUGUUGGAAAAAACGUAUGCAUGUUAUUUUAAUUCAUG